rnacentral:rRNA from 1 species
UACGUAGGGCGCAAGCGUUGUCCGGAAUUAUUGGGCGUAAAGAGCUCGUAGGCGGUUUGUCGCGUCUGCUGUGAAAACUCGAGGCUCAACCUCGGGCUUGCAGUGGGUACGGGUAGACUAGAGUGCGGUAGGGGAGACUGGAAUUCCUGGUGUAGCGGUGGAAUGCGCAGAUAUCAGGAGGAACACCGAUGGCGAAGGCAGGUCUCUGGGCCGCAACUGACGCUGAGGAGCGAAAGCAUGGGGAGCGAACAGG